rnacentral:rRNA from 1 species
AGGGGAGCCGGAGGGAAACCGAGUCUUAAUUGGGCGUUAAGUUGCAGGGUAUAGACCCGAAACCCGGUGAUCUAGCCAUGGGCAGGUUGAAGGUUGGGUAACACUAACUGGAGGACCGAACCGACUAAUGUUGAAAAAUUAGCGGAUGACCUGUGGCUGGGGGUGAAAGGCCAAUCAAACCGGGAGAUAGCUGGUUCUCCCCGAAAGCUAUUUAGGUAGCGCCUCGUGAAUUCAUCUCCGGGGGUAGAGCACUGUUUCGGCUAGGGGGCCAUCCCGGCUUACCAACCCGAUGCAAACUGCGAAUACCGGAGAAUGUUAUCACGGGAGACACACGGCGGGUGCUAACGUCCGUCGUGAAGAGGGAAACAACCCAGACCGCCAGCUAAGGUCCCAAAGUCAUGGUUAAGUGGGAAACGAUGUGGGAAGGCCCAGACAGCCAGGAUGUUGGCUUAGAAGCAGCCAUCAUUUAAAGAAAGCGUAAUAGCUCACUGGUCGAGUCGGCCUGCGCGGAAGAUGUAACGGGGCUAAACCAUGCACCGAAGCUGCGGCAGCGAACGUAUCACUUAAAGCGAUUCAGCGGAUGACGAUUGACGGAGCGAAGCGACGUCAAAGCGUAUACAAAGUCGAGUCGGUUUAAGGAUACGUUCGUUGGGUAGGGGAGCGUUCUGUAAGCCUGUGAAGGUGGCCUGUGAGGGUUGCUGGAGGUAUCAGAAGUGCGAAUGCUGACAUAAGUAACGAUAAAGCGGGUGAAAAGCCCGCUCGCCGGAAGACCAAGGGUUCCUGUCCAACGUUAAUCGGGGCAGGGUGAGUCGACCCCUAAGGCGAGGCCGAAAGGCGUAGUCGAUGGGAAACGGGUUAAUAUUCCCGUACUUGGUGUUACUGCGAAGGGGGGACGGAGAAGGCUAUGUUGGCCGGGCGACGGUUGUCCCGGUUUAAGCGUGUAGGUGUGUGUUCCAGGUAAAUCCGGUUCACUUUAACACUGAGGCGUGAUGACGAGGCACUACGGUGCUGAAGCAACAAAUGCCCUGCUUCCAGGAAAAGCCUCUAAGCAUCAGGUAACAUCAAAUCGUACCCCAAACCGACACAGGUGGUCAGGUAGAGAAUACCAAGGCGCUUGAGAGAACUCGGGUGAAGGAACUAGGCAAAAUGGUGCCGUAACUUCGGGAGAAGGCACGCUGACACGUAGGUGAAGUGAUUUACUCAUGGAGCUGAAGUCAGUCGAAGAUACCAGCUGGCUGCAACUGUUUAUUAAAAACACAGCACUGUGCAAACACGAAAGUGGACGUAUACGGUGUGACGCCUGCCCGGUGCCGGAAGGUUAAUUGAUGGGGUCAGCGCAAGCGAAGCUCCUGAUCGAAGCCCCGGUAAACGGCGGCCGUAACUAUAACGGUCCUAAGGUAGCGAAAUUCCUUGUCGGGUAAGUUCCGACCUGCACGAAUGGCGUAAUGAUGGCCAGGCUGUCUCCACCCGAGACUCAGUGAAAUUGAACUCGCUGUGAAGAUGCAGUGUACCCGCGGCAAGACGGAAAGACCCCGUGAACCUUUACUAUAGCUUGACACUGAACAUUGAGCCUUGAUGUGUAGGAUAGGUGGGAGGCUUUGAAGUGUGGACGCCAGUCUGCAUGGAGCCGGCCUUGAAAUACCACCCUUUAAUGUUUGAUGUUCUAACGUGGACCCGUUACCCGGGUUGCGGACAGUGUCUGGUGGGUAGUUUGACUGGGGCGGUCUCCUCCUAAAGAGUAACGGAGGAGCACGAAGGUUGGCUAAUCCUGGUCGGACAUCAGGAGGUUAGUGCAAUGGCAUAAGCCAGCUUGACUGCGAGCGUGACGGCGCGAGCAGGUGCGAAAGCAGGUCAUAGUGAUCCGGUGGUUCUGAAUGGAAGGGCCAUCGCUCAACGGAUAAAAGGUACUCCGGGGAUAACAGGCUGAUACCGCCCAAGAGUUCAUAUCGACGGCGGUGUUUGGCACCUCGAUGUCGGCUCAUCACAUCCUGGGGCUGAAGUAGGUCCCAAGGGUAUGGCUGUUCGCCAUUUAAAGUGGUACGCGAGCUGGGUUUAGAACGUCGUGAGACAGUUCGGUCCCUAUCUGCCGUGGGCGCUGGAGAACUGAGGGGGGCUGCUCCUAGUACGAGAGGACCGGAGUGGACGCAUCACUGGUGUUCGGGUUGUCAUGCCAAUGGCACUGCCCGGUAGCUAAAUGCGGAAGAGAUAAGUGCUGAAAGCAUCUAAGCACGAAACUUGCCCCGA